GUGGGGAAUUUUGCGCAAUGGGCGAAAGCCUGACGCAGCAACGCCGCGUGAGGGAUGAAGGUUUUCGGAUCGUAAACCUCUGUCAAGUGGGAAGAAAAAAAUGACGGUACCACUAAAGGAAGCCCCGGCUAACUUCGUGCCAGCAGCCGCGGUAAUACGAGGGGGGCAAGCGUUGUUCGGAAUUAUUGGGCGUAAAGCGUGUGUAGGCGGUCAAAUAAGUCAAACGUGUAAGCCCUCGGCUCAACCGGGGAAUUGCGUUUGAAACUAUUUGACUUGAGGGCAGGAGAGGAAAGCGGAAUUCCCAGUGUAGCGGUGAAAUGCGUUGAUAUUGGGAAGAACACCCGUGGCGAAGGCGGCUUUCUGGCCUGCUUCUGACGCUGAGAUACGAAAGCCAGGGGAGCGAACGGG
rnacentral:rRNA from 1 species